rnacentral:rRNA from 1 species
UACGAAGGGGGCUAGCGUUGCUCGGAAUCACUGGGCGUAAAGCGCACGUAGGCGGCUUUUUAAGUCAGGGGUGAAAUCCUGGAGCUCAACUCCAGAACUGCCUUUGAUACUGAGAGGCUCGAGUCCGGGAGAGGUGAGUGGAACUGCGAGUGUAGAGGUGAAAUUCGUAGAUAUUCGCAAGAACACCAGUGGCGAAGGCGGCUCGCUGGCCCGGUACUGACGCUGAGGUGCGAAAGCGUGGGGAGCAAACAGG